rnacentral:lncRNA from 1 species
UCUACUUUCUUUUCUUCAUCUUCUUUCUCUUCUCCUUUCCCUUCCCUCGUUCCCCUCCUCUGCUUCCUCUUCCAUUCUUUUUCCUCCCCAUACCAGAUCCUCUUCCAUAUCCAUACAUUAGGCACCUACAUAGUGUUUAAGCUCUAAUGAAACUGGACAACUUUGUUCUGGUAACAUUCCGUGAUCUCCCAACUUCAUGUUUUUAUUUAAGUUGUUUGGCAUUGUGUCUUUCUUUACAAUUUUGUCUUUUUAAAAUACUGAGCCAUAAGAGUCAGCUCCUUUACAAAGACUUUCAUUGUGACCAUUGUAUUCCUUAUUUGAGAGGUAAAUCAAUGAUUAUAGAGAUUUUUAAAAAAUCAACUUGAUUUCUUAAAUUAAAAACCUCACAAUAAUCAAGGAUUUUUUCCAUUUUAUUCAACCAGUUUUUUUUUAUUCUCCAGAAUGAGGAGUGUUUGUAGCUAUGUGCCACCAGUUUGGAAACAGAAAAUUCAGGGAGUCAUUGUAAAAAGGGAAUGAACAGGUGCUCAAGAUGGAAGAUAAAAAACAACUUAUUUUCAUAUCACAAUUUCAGAUUUGCCAAUCGCUUUCUUCUCAACGUGGCUAACUUGGUAAUUGACUGCUACUUAUUAGCCAGAGUGGAUAGAGAAAGGAGCUUGGACGAAUGUGCGGAUGGAUUGACAUUUUCUAAAACAUAUAUGUGUCCCAGGAUACUAGAUUAUAACUCCACAGCCCAAAGCCACGGUUGCUCUCAUUCUGUUGUUUUUAAAGAACAAGUGUUGGUACCUCUUUUAUUUGGUGUUUUACAAUGCGAACUCCAUAUAUUGGCUUUGGCUUCCCUCCAGUUCUCAAUUUGGGAAAGGCAGGAGAAUUCUGAUCAAAGGAUAUUUGCUGUAUGCUAUUCAGCAGGCAGAUGAGCCUUAUUAGAACUCUACUGACAAGCAGUCAAUAAUAAGGAAAUCUUGCUAUUCCUUAUUUACACAAAAGAGAAGGUGCUGAUUGACAAGAGCUGAAAUGUAUGACAGCCUUCCUUGUCUUUUCCAUCCCCUGGACAAAAUGCCUGUGAAUAGGGGCAACUGGAGAAGAUCCUGCAGAAUAAAUAGAUCUCUACCAUCCUUUCCUCUUACUAA